CCCGCACAAGCGGCGGAGCAUGCGGAUUAAUUCGAUGCAACGCGAAGAACCUUACCAAGGCUUGACAUACACCGGUAACGCCCAGAGAUGGGUGCCCCUUUGUGGUCGGUGGACAGGUGGUGCAUGGUUGUCGUCAGCUCGUGUCGUGAGAUGUUGGGUUAAGUCCCGCAACGAGCGCAACCCUCGUCCUAUGUUGCCAGCGGGUCAUGCCGGGGACUCAUGGGAGACUGCCGGGGUCAACUCGGAGGAAGGUGGGGAUGACGUCAAAUCAUCAUGCCCCUUAUGUCUUGGGCUUCACGCAUGCUACAAUGGCCGGUACAAAGGGCUGCGAUACCGCGAGGUGGAGCGAAUCCCAGAAAGCCGGUCUCAGUUCGGAUUGGGGUCUGCAACUCGACCCCACGAAGUCGGAGUCGCUAGUAAUCGCAGAUCAGCAACGCUGCGGUGAAUACGUUCCCGGGCCUU
rnacentral:rRNA from 1 species